rnacentral:rRNA from 1 species
UACGUAGGGUGCGAGCGUUGUUCGGAAUCACUGGGCGUAAAGGGCGUGUAGGCGGUCCGCUAAGUCUGAUGUGAAAGCCCGGGGCUCACCCCCGGAAGGGCAUUGGAAACUGGCGGACUCGAGUCCCGGAGAGGAAGGUGGAAUUCCUGGUGUAGCGGUGAAAUGCGUAGAUAUCAGGAGGAACACCAGUGGCGAAGGCGGUUACCUGGAGCUUUGCUGACGCUGAUGCGCGAAAGCGUGGGGAGCGAUCCGG